rnacentral:pre_miRNA from 1 species
UUGUAGUGUGACAUGCCCGUUUACUAAUCACUCUGAUGUAUGUUUAUUUAUUAUUUAAUUGAUUUUUGGGUAACAGGGUGUUACAGUGUA